CUUAACUUGGGAGGAGGAAGCCACUUUUAAAGGGAGAGUCACCCUUCCCCCAUUGGACUAGUCUUUUGGGGCGAUUGGGCCUUUCCCUGAGUUGGGUGUGCCUAAUGAACUGUUGGGCUCCGGGCAACCCUAAUUUGUUGGGCCUCGGCCAACCCCACCUGGGCUGAGUGUAUCAUCUGGUAUCAGAGCUAGGGCCCAUUUUAAGAAGGUGGGAAUGAUGAGGACAUCCUCCACUAUUACCGUUGGCAAAGACACAAUUGGCCCAGUUAGCCCAAUUGUAGUCGGAUGACGACCGUGUGAGCCUCAGAAUUAUCCCACCUCGCUUAACUUGGGAGGAGGAAGCCACUUUAAAAGGGAGAGCCACCCUUCUCCCAUUGGACUAGUCUUUUGGGGCGAUUGGGCCUUUCCCUGAGUUGGGUGUGCUUAAUGAACUGUUGGGCUCCGGGCAACCCUAAUUUGUUGGGCCUCGGCCAACCCCACCUGGGCUGGGUGUAUCAAUGGUGAUCCUUAAAGAACAUGCCAACCCAAUCCCUAUCGCCCCCAAAAAUAGAGAUUUGCUUCCACCCCAAUCCCCAUCCUCGGCGGCACCGCUCUCCAAUCCCCAUCCAUUGGCGGUCCAAUCCUUGGCAGCGGUGCUCAGCUCUCCUUAUGUGGCCGCCCAACACCUGCCCCAUCUUAAAGCCGAGCCUGUAGAUAUGGCACUCGUGCUGCGCCUGCGCCUGCUUGUCUCUUCUACUAUCGUCGUCAGUCGGCUCUUGUUUGUGCUGUGUGAGUGCCCUAGUGCCGACGCCGAACUCAAGGCCCGUGUGUUGCGAGGAUGUUGGCUGAUUAUACAUUGUCAGGUUGAUGUUCUUAUAUGUAAC
rnacentral:lncRNA from 1 species